rnacentral:rRNA from 2 species
AGCGACUAAGCGUACACGGUGGAUGCCCUGGCAGUCAGAGGCGAUGAAGGACGUGCUAAUCUGCGAAAAGCGCCGGCGAGGUGAUAUGAACCUUUGACCCGGCGAUGUCCGAAUGGGGAAACCCAGUGCAAUCCGUUGCACUAUCGUUAACUGAAUACAURGGUUAACGAGGCGAACCGGGGGAACUGAAACAUCUAAGUACCCCGAGGAAAAGAAAUCAACCGAGAUUCCCCCAGUAGCGGCGAGCGAACGGGGAGCAGCCCGGAGUCUGAAUCAGCUUGUGUGUUAGUGGAACGGUCUGGAAAGUCCGACGGUACAGGGUGAUAGUCCCGUACACGAAAAUGCACAGGCUGUGAACUCGAAGAGUAGGGCGGGACACGUGGUAUCCUGUCUGAAUAUGGGGGGACCAUCCUCCAAGGCUAAAUACUCCUGACUGACCGAUAGUGAACCAGUACCGUGAGGGAAAGGCGAAAAGAACCCCGGCGAGGGGAGUGAAAAAGAACCUGAAACCGUGUACGUACAAGCAGUGGGAGCCUCUUUAUGGGGUGACUGCGUACCUUUUGUAUAAUGGGUCAGCGACUUAUAUUCUGUAGCAAGGUUAACCGUAUAGGGGAGCCGAAGGGAAACCGAGUCUUAACUGGGCGUUAAGUUGCAGGGUAUAGACCCGAAACCCGGUGAUCUAGCCAUGGGCAGGUUGAAGGUUGGGUAACACUAACUGGAGGACCGAACCGACUAAUGUUGAAAAAUUAGCGGAUGACCUGUGGCUGGGGGUGAAAGGCCAAUCAAACCGGGAGAUAGCUGGUUCUCCCCGAAAGCUAUUUAGGUAGCGCCUCGUGAACUCAUCUUCGGGGGUAGAGCACUGUUUCGGCUAGGGGGCCAUCCCGGCUUACCAACCCGAUGCAAACUGCGAA